UACGAAGGGGGCUAGCGUUGUUCGGAAUUAUUGGGCGUAAAGGGCGCGUAGGCGGCCUUGCAAGUCAAAGGUGAAAUCCCUCGGCUCAACUGAGGAACUGCCUUUGAAACUGCACGCUUGAGGCCGGGAGGGGGUAGCGGAAUUCCCAGUGUAGCGGUGAAAUGCGUAGAUAUUGGGAGGAACACCAGUGGCGAAGGCGGCUACCUGGACCGGUUCUGACGCUGAUGCGCGAAAGCGUGGGUAGCAAACAGG
rnacentral:rRNA from 1 species